rnacentral:rRNA from 1 species
UACGGAGGGAGCUAGCGUUAUUCGGAAUUACUGGGCGUAAAGCGCACGUAGGCGGCUUUGUAAGUAAGAGGUGAAAGCCCAGAGCUCAACUCUGGAAUUGCCUUUAGACUGCAUCGCUUGAAUCAUGGAGAGGUCAGUGGAAUUCCGAGUGUAGAGGUGAAAUUCGUAGAUAUUCGGAAGAACACCAGUGGCGAAGGCGGCUGACUGGACAUGUAUUGACGCUGAGGUGCGAAAGCGUGGGGAGC